CAUAGUUUUAAAACUCGGCUCGGUCAUUGACUCGGCGGGGGUACUGGGUCAAUGGGUCAAUGGUCGAACCACUGAGUCAUUGGUCGAACCGCAUGACUGAAUCGGAACCACUCGGAUGACUCGGUUAGAUAACUCGGUCCUUAGAUUAAAUUUAUAUAGUUAUUUAACCGGAUUAACUCGGAUUGAAUCGGUGACUCGGUCACUUUAGAAACUAAAAUAAUUAAUGAGUGUU
rnacentral:lncRNA from 1 species